rnacentral:piRNA from 1 species
UCAAUAUCUCAAAUGAUAAUU